rnacentral:sRNA from 1 species
CGGCGCCGAGCCCAGGGCUCGGCCAGACUGGAGCUCACGCCCACGCCCGCGCCGCCGCGUCCAGAAUGCCCAGCCUUUUGCCGCCCACGCCCCGCCCCAGCCCCGCCAGGUGAUCCCGGCCUGCACCCCCCGGAUGCCCGACGUGGCGCGGGGACCCAGGGCUGCCAGCACUCCCACUAGUCCUCCCGCGUGUCCGCCGAGCCCCGGACCGGGUGGGGGUGGGGUGAGCCCCGCGUGUCCGCCAUCGCGGCAGCCCGCGCUCCGACCCUCCCCGCGGAGGACCCAGUCUCUCAUACCUGCAGCAUCCGGGGGCGCCGGGCGCCCAGGAUUGUUCCUGAAGGAGUAACAUGGGUGUGAUGACCUCUGUUGGAAGAAUGAGAUGACCGUGGCUUGUGACAGAGAAGGGACCUAUGCCAUUUAUGGCACAGCUGGGACUUGAUACAAAGAACCUCGAGGGCUGAGACAGUCAACAGGAAUACAGAUGGAGCCACCUGCUCCUUGCUGGAGACUGUUUGCAACAAGUUUACAUCAGUUCUCUUCUACUCUGGGGACAGCCUUGGAGGCAUAAAGGUGAACAGCACCAGGCUUUACAGUCAGGGCUUCAAAGACUUGAAGACGUAAUAGACACUUCUGCGCAUCUAAUUUUUCUCUUCCGUUGAAUCACCUCUUCAGGACUGCCUCCUGUAAAUGGCAUGACUCUGUCCCUGGUGAUAAAACACUUUACAGUCGUGGUUACAUGUUGCAUUUGCCAAACAGGCAGCACCAGUUUACGACGUUGUUACCAGGGGACGACUUUGCCACUUUCACCACCACCAUAAGGAGCAGAGGGAGAAUCACCGUCGACAUAAACACCCAAGUCUAUCGCAUUUAAAUUUAAUAGACGCACAGCUGGUUGUUGGCAAUUUGCAGCAUGUGACGUGGCUAAUAGCCGUUCAGCUGGGAUUCUCUCUGAGUUCCAGGCCUUUUCGUUCACCACAUCGGGUUAGCCGGAGUUGAGCUUUCAGCCUUCAUUGUUCUUGGCCCUGUGGUCCCAGUCUAUGCAGAACAGCAGAGAUGUUGGGACCUGUAAUUAUCAGUCCCAUUGUGCGAGACAGGUUACAUCCUACUGCUCAGCCUGGAGCAUGUGUGCACUUCUACAGACUGUCCUGGACCAGCUUUCUCUCUGCAUCCCAAAGCUCAGCCUAGGACAUGAUGGACCCCGGGAGGAUUUGUUUACCGGAUGGCUUGGAAAAGAAAAAAUUCUCCCACAGCCUGCCCGAAAACCUCCACAUGCUGAGGGUACACACUCGAAAUGGAGAGUCUGAGAACUCGAACUCUUGUUUUUCUGAAUGCACAGGCAGCCUUUCAUACUGAUAGGGAAUUGGCUCCAGGACUCUUCCAGAGACUCGACUCCUGGAUGUUCAAGUCCUUCAGGUAGAAUGCUUCAGUCGACGCAUGUAAUGUGUGCAGUGCUCUUGUAUGCUCCAACCGCAUACUUAGAAUGCUUAACCACAUGCUUAGAAGGAGAACCUCGAGGUCUUGCUCCCAGACUAACACAAGGGAGGAGGCUGUUAGUGAUCCGGACAGCCGCAUGCUUUUUCCUGAAUGUUUUUGACUGGUCUCAAUCUACAGACAUGGAUAAGGCCUUAGGAUCUUGUUCAUGGGAAACCUGUGGCCAGUGGGGUCCACUGUCUUUCUUCUCCGUUAUGCAUAGCAGAUGCCCUUUCCUCCACGCUGUGGCUCUGCUGCCUUUCCACUUUCCAAACGAAACCAAGGCUGUGUCCGAGGAGGAGUUUGGUGAAGGUUUCGGUGACAUUGGAUACCUGCUGCUUAGACGUUCUGGUUUUAUCACUGAGAAUCCAGAAGAACCCUUGGGCCCUGGUUUUCUCUCUGAGUGGUUGAUUUCUCUAGCACAAGAGAAGCUGGCAGACAAAUUCACCGUAACGAGAUUAAGGUCUGAGUCCCACCCACCGUGUGACCGGAUUGGCUGUGUUGGGACAUAUUGAUGUUAGAGCUACAUGGUGUGAAACAGAUCAAAGUUUUGUUUUGUCUUCAUUCAAAAACUGUAAAAAGAAUUAUUUCAA